rnacentral:lncRNA from 1 species
UCAAGCAGAAGAAAAUUGGUCGCUACACAAUUGCUAGAACCACAUCCAGCCAUAUGCUGCCCUCGUCACACAAAUCUCAGACUUUACAAAGCACUGAUAUUAUUGAGUUCAGUCUCGAGUCAUGUAACUCCAUGAUCCAAUUCUAUCCAAGAAAAUCGCGAAGAAACACCACUGCAGUGACGCAUAGCAUGACCCCAUAACACUAUCUAAUUAUUUCAUUUCAGAACUUAAAACCUCGAAAGCCUCUCUAACACGGAGAUGCCUCUACGAGUGCAUGAGUCGUACGCACUGACAUCAAAAGAAAGUCCAAAAGACACACAAAUCACAACACACCCGGAACUGGGAGGACCGAUCCGACGAGACCCAUCAAAUAAUCCAACACCUUCCCAAUCCUCUACACCGUUGUAGGGUUGAAAAUCACACAUGGAUGAAGAGCCUCCUCAAUGUUUCCGCAUUUCUGCACAUUAAAAACUGGAGGGUGCAACAUCAUCGCUUCGCUAGAAUCGUGACUAACAGCAAAAACCACAAGAGACAAUACUUGCUACCAACACUGUAGUCAUCCUAACGACACAUAGCUACUUCUAUGACUAAAGUAAGCCAAAAGCACCACAGAGAUUAGAACCACGGCCAUCGUUUACUAAGUCGUCCACAUCUUCUUACAAAGUGGUAACGGAUACAAGUUGUUCAUCAUUCCUCUCAGCCAUUCAAAAACAACCACAAUGUAUUUUCAAAUGUAGGUCGCAUGGUCUGUCCCAGAGGGUCAUAGCAGCGACGCAGCUCCCCAGGGCAAUGGAAUAUGCCACCUUACUAUAACGGAGUACGCUCUGCAUCAACGAAGAUGAAAACCUACAUCGCGUGGUAAGAUGUUUCUCUGACGUUCACAAAGGGCUCUACGACCACAAACGCAUCAAGUAGAUGCAAAUGGUCGCUCCAUAAUUGUUAGGCCAACACCGCGCCAAGAGUGCUGGCCCCGUCAUCCAGGGCACACAUGCCAUGUAAACCUGCUCAGCUUCAGGAUUCAAGCACAGAACGCCCAACUCUCCUUAAUCUAUUCAAUCCUAACGCAAAACGACAGAAAGAGGCCGAGGCCGGGAUAGAUACCCCAAAUCCUAAAACCUAAAGCCAACUACACCAGUGUAGAGGUCAGAACCACAACCGUGUUUACAACUUCGUCCACACGUCUUCUUUCAGAGUGGUAACGGAUAUGUAUUGAUUAUUAUUUCUCUUGCAUUUGAGUUAUCUACAGUAUGAGUUUAACUGUAGGUCGCAUGGUCUGUCCCAAAGGGUUACGGCAGCAAUACUGCUCCCCAGGGCAACGGAAUAUGCCACCUCACUAUCAUGGAGUACAUCUUGCAUCAACAGUGAUGCAGACCUACGUCACAAAACAGCAUCUGUCUUCGACGUUAACAAAGGACUCUACGACCAGAAGCGCAUCAAGCCGAUUCAAAUGGUCGCCCCAUGGUUGUUAAGACAACACCCCGCCAAGAGUGCUACCCCCGUCACCAAGCUUCAACCUACAAGCUAUCAAUCAGACCAGGUUUUCAUCACAGACGAGAUCAGAACCACAGCCAUGGUUUACAACUUCGUCCACACAUCUUCUAUCAGAGUGGUGACGGAUAUGUUUCUCGUCAUUUCUCUCAGCCAUUCAAGACAACUACGUAUGCGUUCACAUGGAGGUCGCAUGGUCUGUCCCAGCGGGUUACGGCAGCGAUGCUGCUCCCGAGGGCAAUGGAAUAUGCCACCUCACUAUCAUGGAGCAACCAACCUCACACAACAGCGUCUGUCUUCGACGUUAACAAGGGACUCUACGACCAGAAGCACAUCAUGUAGAUGUAAAUGGUCGCUCCGUAAUUGUUAGGUCAACACCCCGCCAAGAGUGCUUACCGCGUCGUCUAACUUCCACCGUGAGAUGGUUCCAAUCGAGACCAGAAAAAUCAAGGCGCAUCCUCUGGUGAAUACAUCAAGAUAUCAGCCGGCACUAGCAACUUUAUCUCACCGAAUAACCUAAACUCUGGACCAACUCGAAACACAGACUCCGUACCAUAAGUGAGCCGAUAACCAAAGGCCAGGUACGAGAGCAGUCAUGCAAAGAGGAACGAACGCGUCUAGUCAGCUUAUUACUCAAUCUGACGACAAUCAGGCCCUCUUCCAGACUCCACCACAAGAUGAACACUGGAACCCCCACUCUUGAAACAACGUGUCAUGUUCCACGCAACAUGCCAACAAAAAACUCCAUAUACAUUCAAGUCGAUCAUCUGAAAUACGUAGACACUUCCACCACAUUAACGGCCAAAGUUAGGGCUCGUUCAACCAAAUUGUACUACAUCUCAACUAUUAAACUGUUAAACUCGGAUGUGCCGCGCGCACUGAAUUGCAUGAAGCUCUGGCAUGCAUCAAGAGACAGAGAAAGACAGAGAGAGUGGGGAAAAGGAACUGCUGUCCUGGUUCCUGAUG